rnacentral:misc_RNA from 1 species
CCGAGCGUGGGUCCCCCGACCCCCUUCCCGGGGGGGCGGGGUUGACCCUAGACCUCCCACCCUUGUCGAUUGUACCGUGUUGCUUCGGCGGGCCCGCCAUUGGCCGCCGGGGGGCUCGCGACUCGUGAGCGUUGCCCCCGGGCCCGUGCCUGCCGGAGACCUCCCUCGAAAUGCUACUGUGGUCAGGAAUGCUGUCUGAGUGGGAACGAUGUGAGAAAAUUGAUCAGUCA